rnacentral:rRNA from 1 species
UACGUAGGGUGCAAGCGUUAAUUGGAAUUACUGGGCGUAAAGCGUGCGCAGGCGGUUUUGUAAGUCUGUCGUGAAAUCCCCGGGCUCAACCUGGGAAUUGCGAUGGAGACUGCAAGGCUAGAAUCUGGCAGAGGGGGGUAGAAUUCCACGUGUAGCAGUGAAAUGCGUAGAGAUGUGGAGGAACACCGAUGGCGAAGGCAGCCCCCUGGGUCAAGAUUGACGCUCAUGCACGAAAGCGUGGGGAGCAAACAGG